AUUUUCUGUCUGGUUGUGUAAUUCUGAAAAUGGAUGUAAUGACUAGGAACUUUCACUAGCACGGUUUGUUUUCUUGAAUUUUUAAAAUUUCUUUGUGUAGGUGUGAGGCUUACGACUAUAUUUUCGAGGUAGCAGUGAGAAUGAAAAGCAAUGGACUGGAUCUAUGAGGAAUCCUUCAAUGUAGUGUUGUUUUUGCUAGUCUGUUGUGGAUGUAUAUAAGAACAAGAAAAGAACACGCAUUUUCCAAAUUACUGUCAAAAGACAAACGGCUUAGAACAAAGUCAAAGUCAAGAUACGUUAUUUACCGAGGGUAUAAAAACACCAAUUACUGGUUACCCAGUAGUUUUCAUGAUGACCCUCACUAACCUAUACAAUAAAUAAAUCUACCAAAUUUGUACAAAUACUAAAUAUUCUAUAAAAAGUCUUUUCCAU